rnacentral:rRNA from 1 species
CGGGACGGGUGAGUAACGCGUGGGUAACCUGCCUCAUACAGGGGGAUAACAGUUGGAAACGACUGCUAAUACCGCAUAAGCCCACGGCUCGGCAUCGAGCAGAGGGAAAAGGAGCAAUCCGCUUUGAGAUGGCCUCGCGUCCGAUUAGCUAGUUGGUGAGGUAACGGCCCACCAAGGCGACGAUCGGUAGCCGGACUGAGAGGUUGAACGGCCACAUUGGGACUGAGACACGGCCCAG